rnacentral:rRNA from 1 species
GAUGAACGCUAGCGGCAGGCUUAACACAUGCAAGUCGAGGGGCAGCACGUCUUCGGAUGGUGGCGACCGGCGCACGGGUGAGUAACGCGUAUGCAAUCUACCUUUUACAGGGGCAUAGCCCGGGGAAACCCGGAUUAAUAUCCUAUAGUACCAUUAUAUAGCAUUAUAUUAUGGUUAAAGUUUCGGCGGUAAAAGAUGAGCAUGCGUCCUAUUAGCUUGAUGGUGAGGUAACGGCUUACCAUGGCUAUGAUAGGUAGGGGUCCUGAGAGGGAGACCCCCCACACUGGUACUGAGACACGGACCAGACUCCUACGGGAGGCAGCAGUGAGGAAUAUUGGACAAUGGGCGCAAGCCUGAUCCAGCCAUGCCGCGUGCAGGAAGACGGCCCUAUGGGUUGUAAACUGCUUUUAUACGGGAAGAAACACCCCUUCGUGAAGGGACUUGACGGUACCGUAUGAAUAAGGAUCGGCUAACUCCGUGCCAGCAGCCGCGGUAAUACGGAGGA